ACACUUCGUUAGAAUCUAUAUAGACGAUAGUUAAAACAUAUACGCCUCCGAGGUCUAGUGGUCAGCGUAACUGGCUUCUACUCCGCGUGCCUGGGUUCGAAUCCCGGCCCGGGCAGUCGGCAUGCAUCUCACCCAGCUGUUCAUCCUCCCUUUCGGGCUGGUCGAUAAAUGGGUACCUGGGGAAACCUGGGGAAGGUAAACUGUGGUAACCCAGAUGUCAUGCUGGUCCUGUGUCCCGGGGUAAUGGGCUCCCUCCCACCACAGGCUCAAGGGCCAAUGUUACGGAGAUGAGCACCGAGGCCAUGUGCUGCUCUAGCGUAUGCCCCCAACUUUACUAAAACAUCCAUUAUGCAGUGUAACUAUUUUUAUGCUAUGGUCGUAAGGUUGGCAGUGACUAUAUAUAUAUGGACCAUUCAUUUUGAGGGAGCUACUCUUUAACCCGUCCGCUGCGAUUUGGCUUUCACUGGUAGCCUGGUAACAUACACUCCCAGGUCUUUCUCUGCCUCUGUGGUGGAUAGUGGAGUGUUUCCCAUGUGGUAUUGGUAUGCUGGAUAUCCCUUCACUGGUAGCCUGGUAACAUACACUCCCAGGUCUUUCUCUGCCUCUGUGGUGGAUAGUGGAGUGUUUCCCAUGUGGUAUUGGUAUGCUGGAUAUCCCUUCACUGGUAGCCUGGUAACAUACACUCCCAGGUCUUUCUCUGCCUCUGUGGUGGAUAGUGGAGUGUUUCCCAUGUGGUAUUGGUAUGCUGGAUAUCCCUUCACUGGUAGCCUGGUAACAUACACUCCCAGGUCUUUCUCUGCCUCUGUGGUGGAUAGUGGAGUGUUUCCCAUGUGGUAUUGGUAUGCUGGAUAUCCCUUCACUGGUAGCCUGGUAACAUACACUCCCAGGUCUUUCUCUGCCUCUGUGGUGGAUAGUGGAGUGUUUCCCAUGUGGUAUUGGUGUGCUGGAUAUCCCCUCCCAAGGUGCAGGACUUUACAUUUUUCUUCAUUGAAUUGUAGCAGCCACUUUUUGUUCCAUUCCUGUAGCUUGGUGAUGUCUUCUUGUAGGAAAUCCGCAGUCAGGGGUUUAAUGCGGCCUCCGUCUAAGAGUUAACUUUGCUCACUGUGAACAAAAAAAUGAGGAAAGGAAAAAUAAGUCUCAUGGCAAG